rnacentral:rRNA from 1 species
GAUCCUGGCUCAGGACGAACGCUGGCGGCGUGCUUAACACAUGCAAGUCGAACGGAAAGGCCCCUUUGGGGGUACUCGAGUGGCGAACGGGUGAGUAACACGUGAGUAACCUGCCCUUGACUUCGGGAUAACUUCAGGAAACUGGGGCUAAUACCGGAUAGGAAUCCUUGCUGCAUGGUGGGGGUUGGAAAGCUUCGGCGGUUUUGGAUGGACUCGCGGCUUAUCAGCUUGUUGGUGGGGUAGUGGCUUACCAAGGCUUUGACGGGUAGCCGGCCUGAGAGGGCGACCGGCCACAUUGGGACUGAGAUACGGCCCAGACUCCUACGGGAGGCAGCAGUGGGGAAUAUUGCACAAUGGGCGGAAGCCUGAUGCAGCAACGCCGCGUGCGGGAUGACGGCCUUCGGGUUGUAAACCGCUUUCAGCAGGGGCGAAGCUUGUGGUGACGGUACCUGCAGAAGAAGCACCGGCUAACUACGUGCCAGCAGCCGCGGUGAUACGUAGGGUGCGAGCGUUGUCCGGAUUUAUUGGGCGUAAAGAGCUCGUAGGUGGUUGAUUGCGUCGGAAGUGAAAACUUGGGGCUUAACCCUGAGCGUGCUUUCGAUACGGGUUGACUUGAGGAAGGUAGGGGAGAAUGGAAUUCCUGGUGGAGCGGUGGAAUGCGCAGAUAUCAGGAGGAACACCAGUGGCGAAGGCGGUUCUCUGGACCUUUCCUGACGCUGAGGAGCGAAAGCGUGGGGAGCGAACAGGCUUAGAUACCCUGGUAGUCCACGCUGUAAACGGUGGGUACUAGGUGUGGGGUCCAUUCCACGGAUUCCGUGCCGUAGCUAACGCAUUAAGUACCCCGCCUGGGGAGUACGGCCGCAAGGCUAAAACUCAAAGGAAUUGACGGGGCCCCGCACAAGCGGCGGAGCAUGCGGAUUAAUUCGAUGCAACGCGAAGAACCUUA